AUUGAACGCUGGCGGCAGGCCUAACACAUGCAAGUCGAACGAGUGGCGGACGGGUGAGUAACGUCUGGGAAACUGCCUGAUGGAGGGGGAUAACUACUGGAAACGGUAGCUAAUACCGCACAUCCUCAGAUGUGCCCAGAUGGGAUUAGCUAGUUGGUGGGGUAACGGCUCACCAAGGCGACGAUCCAUAGCUGGUCUGAGAGGAGGACCAGCCACACUGGAACGGAAACACGGUCCGGACUCCAACGGUAGGCAGCGUUGGGGAGUAGUACACAAUUGGCGCAAGGCUAAUGCUGCCAAGCCGCGUGUAUGAAGAAGGCCUUCGGGUUGUAAAGUACUUUCAGCGGGAAGGCGUUACCCGAAGAAGAAGCACCGGCUAACUCCGUGCCAGCAGCCGCGGUAAUAC
rnacentral:rRNA from 1 species